ensembl:lncRNA
CGCAUUUGGGGGAAGUUAAUAUUUCACGUCACUGCAGGCCUUCAAACAAUGAGAUUUGAGCCUAAACAGUGAAAGGCAGUCGCGUUUUAAUCAGUAGAGGAUGUCGCAUAAAAAGAGAUGAAAGAACAAACCAUGUACUGUAGUGUUGAUUUAUUUAUUUUUAGCACAACACCAGAACAACCCCACGUGCCCAUAAUUUGCGGUACUUCAGAAAAAAAGGAGUGAACAUAAAAGGGAGUAAAAUGUUGUGUCAGGAAGAGAAAGAAUGAGAGCUAACUUCACUCAGAGAUAUAGAAAGAAAGAGAAAGAAACCAGGCUGUAUUUAAAGACGUCUUGAAAACAAGUUUUAACAAAGUCCUGGAGAAGUGCCCAAUGCUGGAGGACCUCCUGCUUUACCCCUGGCUCAGAUAAACUCCUCUCUGACACAAACACACACGC